rnacentral:lncRNA from 1 species
AUGUUGCAUAUGCACGAUUGCUAAUCAAAUUUUGAGCGCCUGAUACAUUUUUGCAGCAUAAUUUUUUUUUAAAGAAAAAACAUGAAAUACUCAGCUUACACUCUCUUCUUCUUUCACAUGCAACUCACCACGAAACCACCAUAGUUUCUAUGAAAACCCGUCACUAAAGCUCCAACUAAGCCACCUUAAAUCACUAAAAAAAAUACCGUCUUUCAUCAAAAAACUUAUUGCCCAUAAUCUCUAGAGCUUCGCCUAUAUCCGUCGAGCCAAAAUAAAUCCCGCGCUAGCCGAAAAAAGCAGCAACAAGAGCUGCAAAUAACUACUAAAUAUCUACUAGAUCAACAUCCUCUUUCAUCUAACAAUACCUUCAUUCCAACAGAAACGCAUAAACAAUAACCAAUUAUUUGAAUCGGCAGAUAAUUUUACACCAAAAAUAAUAAAUUAGAGAAACAAAAGUGAAAUAAGCCCAAAUUCGUGACCAAGAAAAUGACGGAGAAAGAAGACUGAACAUUAGUAGAAUCAUUCGGCUUUGCUUGGAGAUCAAUUUUUUGGUGAAAGAGAUGAGGCGAGGUCGGUCAAUGAUUCGAUGGUGGAUUCUCUGCUUUGGCUAUUCUUUUUUGUUUCAUAUUUGUAUUAGUUUUAUGAAAAGAUUUAGAUUUAAAUUUCAAGUAUGAAUGAAUAAAUUUUGAGUAUAGGGCAUGUUAGAGAAGAAGGUGGGGAGGAGAAGGGAUCUAGUGAAAAUAUCUGUGUUUAAUUUGUUGGAUAGGCAGUG